GACGAACGCUGGCGGCGUGCCUAAUACAUGCAAGUAGAACGCUGAAGGAGGAGCUUGCUUCUCUGGAUGAGUUGCGAACGGGUGAGUAACGCGUAGGUAACCUGCCUGGUAGCGGGGGAUAACUAUUGGAAACGAUAGCUAAUACCGCAUAAUAGUAGAUGUUGCAUGACAUUUGUUUAAAAGGUGCAAUUGCAUCACUACCAGAUGGACCUGCGUUGUAUUAGCUAGUUGGUGGGGUAACGGCUCACCAAGGCGACGAUACAUAGCCGACCUGAGAGGGUGAUCGGCCACACUGGGACUGAGACACGGCCCAGACUCCUACGGGAGGCAGCAGUAGGGAAUCUUGGGCAAUGGACGGAAGUCUGACCGAGCAACGCCGCGUGAGUGAAGAAGGUGUUCGGAUCGUAAAGCUCUGUUGUAAGAGAAGAACGAGUGUGAGAGUGGAAAGUUCACACUGUGACGGUAUCUGACCAGAAAGGGACGGCUAACUACGUG
rnacentral:rRNA from 1 species